GAUAUCCAGUGGUUUGUCCUGUCUCUAGUUUCCUGUGAACAACCCUGUUUUGUCCCUUGGAUGUCCUUGUGCCUGAUUCCACGUCGGACUUUUCCUGCCCAUUACCUGUCUGGACAUCAGCCCUGUUUUGGAAUGCCCACUGAGCCCUGCCUGUCCCUGUUAAGUAGUCUAUCUUUUGCCUCCUUAUGUAUGACCCUUGCCUGCCUGAUCACUUCGCCUUUUGGAUCUCCUUUGUUUGCCUCUACAGUUGUUUCAGGGGUUUGUGUUCCACAGGAGUUCAGGAACCUGCCACCAGUCCCUGGAGAACUACUUAUGGCGAGAUGCAGCUAGGUGAAGAGAUCCUACCUAGAGUAGACAUCGAGACUGUUUUUUCCCUACAGUUAUAUUUGAAAGAAUUAAGGAAAAGAUCAAUUUUAGGGCAUUUAAAAUGAUUGUGAAGCUGUGUGGGAAGGCAUGCAGCAAUAAGCUUAGCCUGGGAUUUAAACACCUGACCUACUUUGACACAAAGCUUUAACUUCUGUACACCAGCUUAUAAUAUUGAGCUCAUGUGUCUUCACUCAUCUCCUCACUCCUUGAUCUUUUCAUGGGAGUGAUUGCACCAGCAGCAGUAUUACAACUUGAGUGAAUUCUUAUGAUGCACCCAAAAAG